GAUGAACGCUGGCGGCGUGCCUAACACAUGCAAGUCGAGCGAACAGACGCGGAGCUUGCCUCUCUGACGUUAGCGGCGGACGGGUGAGUACCAAGCGGAUAACCUACCUAUAAGUCUGGGAUCACUUCGGGAAACCGGAGCUAAUAUCGGCUAAUAUAUUGAACAGCAUGGUUCAAUAGUGAAAGACGGUUUUGCUGUCACUUAUAGACGGAUCCGCGCUGCAUUAGUUAGUUGGUAAGGUAACGGCUUACCAAGGAAACGAUGCGUAGCCGACCUAAAAGAGUGAUCGGCCACACGGGAACGAGGACACGGUCCGACCUCCUACGGAAGGCGGAGUGGGGAAAUCUGGCGCAUGGGGGGAAAGCCUGACGAGCAAACGCGGCGGGGGUGAUGAGGGUCUUCGGUUCGUAAAACUCUGUGAUUGGAGAGAAACAAAGGUGUAAAUAACUAUGCGCGUCUUAACGGUACCUAAGCAGAAAGCCACGCCUAACUACGU
rnacentral:rRNA from 1 species